rnacentral:rRNA from 1 species
GGGUUGUGAGGUUAAGCGACUAAGCGUACACGGUGGAUGCCCUGGCAGUCAGAGGCGAUGAAGGACGUGCUAAUCUGCGAUAAGCGUCGGUAAGGUGAUAUGAACCGUUAUAACCGGCGAUUUCCGAAUGGGGAAACCCAGUGUGAUUCGUCACACUAUCAUUAACUGAAUCCAUAGGUUAAUGAGGCGAACCGGGGGAACUGAAACAUCUAAGUACCCCGAGGAAAAGAAAUCAACCGAGAUUCCCCCAGUAGCGGCGAGCGAACGGGGAGCAGCCCAGAGCCUGAAUUAGUGUGUGUGUUAGUGGAAGCGUCUGGAAAGGCGCGCGAUACAGGGUGACAGCCCCGUACACAAAAAUGCACAUACUGUGAGCUCGAUGAGUAGGGCGGGACACGUGGUAUCCUGUCUGAAUAUGGGGGGACCAUCCUCCAAGGCUAAAUACUCCUGACUGACCGAUAGUGAACCAGUACCGUGAGGGAAAGGCGAAAAGAACCCCGGCGAGGGGAGUGAAAAAGAACCUGAAACCGUGUACGUACAAGCAGUGGGAGCCUCUUUAUGGGGUGACUGCGUACCUUUUGUAUAAUGGGUCAGCGACUUAUAUUCUGUAGCAAGGUUAACCGAAUAGGGGAGCCGAAGGGAAACCGAGUCUUAACUGGGCGUUAAGUUGCAGGGUAUAGACCCGAAACCCGGUGAUCUAGCCAUGGGCAGGUUGAAGGUUGGGUAACACUAACUGGAGGACCGAACCGACUAAUGUUGAAAAAUUAGCGGAUGACUUGUGGCUGGGGGUGAAAGGCCAAUCAAACCGGGAGAUAGCUGGUUCUCCCCGAAAGCUAUUUAGGUAGCGCCUCGUGAAUUCAUCUCCGGGGGUAGAGCACUGUUUCGGCAAGGGGGUCAUCCCGACUUACCAACCCGAUGCAAACUGCGAAUACCGGAGAAUGUUAUCACGGGAGACACACGGCGGGUGCUAACGUCCGUCGUGAAGAGGGAAACAACCCAGACCGCCAGCUAAGGUCCCAAAGUCAUGGUUAAGUGGGAAACGAUGUGGGAAGGCCCAGACAGCCAGGAUGUUGGCUUAGAAGCAGCCAUCAUUUAAAGAAAGCGUAAUAGCUCACUGGUCGAGUCGGCCUGCGCGGAAGAUGUAACGGGGCUAAACCAUGCACCGAAGCUGCGGCAGCGACACUGUGUGUUGUUGGGUAGGGGAGCGUUCUGUAAGCCUGUGAAGGUGUGCUGUGAGGCAUGCUGGAGGUAUCAGAAGUGCGAAUGCUGACAUAAGUAACGAUAAAGCGGGUGAAAAGCCCGCUCGCCGGAAGACCAAGGGUUCCUGUCCAACGUUAAUCGGGGCAGGGUGAGUCGACCCCUAAGGCGAGGCCGAAAGGCGUAGUCGAUGGGAAACAGGUUAAUAUUCCUGUACUUGGUGUUACUGCGAAGGGGGGACGGAGAAGGCUAUGUUGGCCGGGCGACGGUUGUCCCGGUUUAAGCGUGUAGGCUGGUUUUCCAGGCAAAUCCGGAAAAUCAAGGCUGAGGCGUGAUGACGAGGCACUACGGUGCUGAAGCAACAAAUGCCCUGCUUCCAGGAAAAGCCUCUAAGCAUCAGGUAACAUUAAAUCGUACCCCAAACCGACACAGGUGGUCAGGUAGAGAAUACCAAGGCGCUUGAGAGAACUCGGGUGAAGGAACUAGGCAAAAUGGUGCCGUAACUUCGGGAGAAGGCACGCUGAUAUGUAGGUGAAGCGACUUGCUCGUGGAGCUGAAAUCAGUCGAAGAUACCAGCUGGCUGCAACUGUUUAUUAAAAACACAGCACUGUGCAAACACGAAAGUGGACGUAUACGGUGUGACGCCUGCCCGGUGCCGGAAGGUUAAUUGAUGGGGUUAGCGGUAACGCGAAGCUCUUGAUCGAAGCCCCGGUAAACGGCGGCCGUAACUAUAACGGUCCUAAGGUAGCGAAAUUCCUUGUCGGGUAAGUUCCGACCUGCACGAAUGGCGUAAUGAUGGCCAGGCUGUCUCCACCCGAGACUCAGUGAAAUUGAACUCGCUGUGAAGAUGCAGUGUACCCGCGGCAAGACGGAAAGACCCCGUGAACCUUUACUAUAGCUUGACACUGAACAUUGAGCCUUGAUGUGUAGGAUAGGUGGGAGGCUUUGAAGUGUGGACGCCAGUCUGCAUGGAGCCGGCCUUGAAAUACCACCCUUUAAUGUUUGAUGUUCUAACGUUGGCCCCUGACCGGGGUUGCGGACAGUGUCUGGUGGGUAGUUUGACUGGGGCGGUCUCCUCCUAAAGAGUAACGGAGGAGCACGAAGGUUGGCUAAUCCUGGUCGGACAUCAGGAGGUUAGUGCAAUGGCAUAAGCCAGCUUGACUGCGAGCGUGACGGCGCGAGCAGGUGCGAAAGCAGGUCAUAGUGAUCCGGUGGUUCUGAAUGGAAGGGCCAUCGCUCAACGGAUAAAAGGUACUCCGGGGAUAACAGGCUGAUACCGCCCAAGAGUUCAUAUCGACGGCGGUGUUUGGCACCUCGAUGUCGGCUCAUCACAUCCUGGGGCUGAAGUAGGUCCCAAGGGUAUGGCUGUUCGCCAUUUAAAGUGGUACGCGAGCUGGGUUUAGAACGUCGUGAGACAGUUCGGUCCCUAUCUGCCGUGGGCGCUGGAGAACUGAGGGGGGCUGCUCCUAGUACGAGAGGACCGGAGUGGACGCAUCACUGGUGUUCGGGUUGUCAUGCCAAUGGCACUGCCCGGUAGCUAAAUGCGGAAGAGAUAAGUGCUGAAAGCAUCUAAGCACGAAACUUGCCCCGAGAUGAGUUCUCCCUGACUCCUUGAGAGUCCUGAAGGAACGUUGAAGACGACGACGUUGAUAGGCCGGGUGUGUAAGCGCAGCGAUGCGUUGAGCUAACCGGUACUAAUGAACCGUGAGGCUUAACCUUACAACGCCGAAG